rnacentral:tRNA from 2 species
GGGCAUGUAGCUCAGUUGGUUAGAGCGCGUCUCUGAUAAAGACGAGGUCGGAAGUUCGAGUCUUCCCAUGCCCACCA